UUUGGAUCGUGACAAAUAGUCAAUCAACUAACGGAUUUUCAGGUAUAGAAACACUAAUUACAACCCAUCUUCAAUUUUUGGAAGUUUUUGAUUCGGUACAAUCAAACCCUAGUUUUUAUGGCUAGAUCUACUACUGGCCCGAUUCAUAACUCUCACCGGAAUACUACAUCGGAAACCGAUGGUUCCAACUGCCAAAACCGAUUGUUGUCCAGGGAGUAUAAACUUAAAUAGGAAAUCUUUCCUCAAAGAUUUUGAAAGCUUAGAAUCAUACGAAGUGACAUAUGUUGGAUGAUUAUACAUUCGGGGCUGAGUUGAAGGUGGAUGGAGAAGUCUAUUGAUAUUCUCUUAGAUCAAUGGCUCUUCUGUAUUAUUUCAGAGCAACCCCACUUAUAUAGAGAGAGCAUGGGUGGUUUGUGAAAGAAAUUUUAGUUAUAUAAGGAGCAGAAUUUGUGCUUGUGGAGAUUGUCCGAGUAAACGGAGAUGAAAAAGAAAACUUGAAUUUUGUAAACAAUACAGAGUCUAAAUGUAAUUAGUUGAAUGUAAUAAAAAAAAAUAAAGACCAAAAAGUUACUCUUAUGGUUUCACAUUUCAUUUUAUGCAAUUAAAUACGUCGAACAGUUAUAAGAUAAGAACUGUUUUUUUCAUUUUUGCAGGUAAUGGAAUUGACAGAUAAUAUACAAUUGAUACUGAAUGCUGUUAGGUUCUCUAGUGUUGUAGAAGUGCAAGUAUCCUUUCUAUAUGUGGUUGUGGUCUAUCUAGUCUUUUAGUCUCUACAUUCUGUGGGCAAAGAGGAAGGGUUCACUAUGUGUUAUUUGAGUUUUUGGCGAAGUGCUUGUGUUGCAAAAGAAUGGAACACACUUGUUAAAGACGUUAGAGAUGUGAGCACAGAGUCUUGUGUUCACCUAGAGCCUGUUACCCUUGUAAAUGAUUUUCAAGAAUUCGAUAGCCUUAUGCAUUGCCCACCAUGUUCUUUGACGUAGGUCUGCUAUGAAACAAAAUUAUGAUUUGUAAUGUGUCCUACGUUCACAAUUGCUGCUGUUUGAAUUUAUAUAGUGUUUGUUUGCUGAUGUCCUGAGCUGAUUGAGAUGUUUAGUGCUUCAGAAGUAGGAAAUUGCUUGGAUGUCGAAAAUACUUUGAUAGUAUUUGCAUCUACACUCUUGCAUGGGCCUAUUUAGGCAUUUAGUGUUUCAUAACUAGGAGCACUUUUAAGAGUAUUUGUAUAGUAUUUGCCUCUUAAACUGUUACAGGUUCUAAGAUAUUUCUUCCUGGUGAAAAGUUAAGGUGGAGAAAUGACUGGUCUCAUUGGCUCCUGCCACCAUCAGUGUCAAAUUCUCAAUCUCUACAAACUCCUGAUUUACUUGUACAAAAUCAGAAUUGCUGGCUUCUGAUUUUUGUCUUCGUGUGAAGCAGAGAGAAUGAAUGAGUAUGAUGUUGUUGUGCUGUGAAGGCUUUUUCGGGCACAUUAUUAUCUUGUUAUGUUCUUUCCAUUUGUUUCAAACAUAGCACCAUUGACUCUUUCCUUAUAUUUAUCAUAGUAUAUUAUAAAGAGGCAUUUGUUGCCCUUCCAAAACUUAAUAAGCAUCCUUAUGCUUGGUUGUGAUACAUUGGUUUCUUUUCUAUAUAAUCAGAGGAA